ACAGGUGUUGGCAGGUGUUGGCAGGUAUAGGAAGGUGUUGACAGGUGUCAUUCAGUGUUGGCAGGUGUUGGCAGGUAUUGGAAGGUGUUGACAUGUGUUGACAGGUGUUGACAGGUGUUGGCAGGUGUUGGCAGGUGUUGGCAGGUAUUAGAAGGUGUUGACAUGGAAGGUAUUGGAAG